GACGAACGCUGGCGGCGUGCUUAACACAUGCAAGUCGAGCGGAAAGGCCCACUUGUGGGUACUCGAGCGGCGAACGGGUGAGUAUCACGUGAGUAAUCUGCCCUUCACUUUUGGAUAACCCUCGGAAACGGGGGCUAAUACGGAAUAUUCAACAUUGUCUGCAUGGGGGGUGGUGGAAAGAUUUUUUGGUGGGGGAUGAGCUCGCGGCCUAUCAGCUUGAUGGUGGGGUAAUGGCCUACCAUGGCUUUGACGGGUAGCCGGCCUGAGAGGGUGUCCGGCCACACUGGGACUGAGACACGGCCCAGACUCCUACGGGAGGCAGCAGUGGGGAAUAUUGGACAAUGGGCGGAAGCCUGAUCCAGCAACGCCGCGUGAGGGAUGACGGCCUUCGGGUUGUAAACCUCUUUCACCUUUGACGAAGCUCUCAUUUUUUGGUGGGGGUGACGGUAGGGGGAGAAGAAGCACCGGCCAACUACGUGCCAGCAGCCGCGGUAAGAC
rnacentral:rRNA from 1 species